UGGAAUAUACGCCGAAAGGGGUACUAAUACCGGAUAUUCUUGCUUUUCAUAAGUUUUGCAAGCAAAGGUGGCCUCUGUAUAUGCUACUGCGUGAAGAGGGGUCUGCGUACCAUUAGCUAGUAGGUGGGGUAAUGGCCUACCUAGGCAACGAUGGUUAGCGGGUCUGAGAGGAUGAUCCGCCACACUGGCACUGGAACACGGGCCAGACUCCUACGGGAGGCAGCAGUGAGGAAUAUUGCGCAAUGGGGGAAACCCUGACGCAGCGACGCCGCGUGAGUGAGGAAGGCCUUCGGGUCGUAAAGCUCUGUCAAAGGGAAAGAAGUGCAUGGUAGCUAAUACCUGCCAUGUUUGACGGUACCCUUAAAGGAAGCACCGGCUAACUCCGUGCCAGCAGCCGCGGUAAUACGGAGGGUGCAAGCGUUGUUCGGAAUCACUGGGCGUAAAGGGCGCGUAGGCGGUUUGAUAAGUCAGAUGUGAAAGCCCACGGCUUAACUGUGGAAGUGCAUUUGAAACUGUCAGACUUGAGUACCAGAGGGGAAAGUGGAAUUCCCGGUGUAGAGGUGAAAUUCGUAGAUAUCGGGAGGAAUACCGGUGGCGAAGGCGACUUUCUGGCUGGAUACUGACGCUGAGGAGCGAAAGCGUGGGGAGCAAACAGGAUUAGAUAUCCUGGUAGUCCACGCCGUAAACGAUGUCAACUAGAUGUAGGGGGUGUUGAUCCCCUCUGUGUCGCAGCUAACGCAUUAAGUUGACCGCCUGGGGAGUACGGUCGCAAGAUUAAAACUCAAAGGAAUUGAUCGGGGGCCCGCACAAGCGGUGGA
rnacentral:rRNA from 1 species